AGUGGGCUCGACCUGGGCGCACUGCCGCAGCGAAAGUCAUUAGUGCCCCGCCUGGGGAGUAUGGUCGCAAGGCUGAAACUCAAAGGAAUUGACGGGGGCUCACACAAGCGGUGGAGCAUGUGGCUUAAUUCGAGGCUACGCGAAGAACCUUACCCAGGCUUGACAUGUGCGAAAGCGCCUGGUGUACCCUGCGGAAACGCAGGGGAACCCCGCAAGGGGGGACCAGGUACAGGUGCUGCAUGGCUGUCGUCAGCUCGUGUCGUGAGACGUCGGGUUAAGUCCCAUAACGAGCGAAACCCUUGCCCUUAGUUGCCACUUUAACCGGGGCACUCUAGGGGGACUGCCGGUGUCAAACCGGAGGAAGGCGGGGACNACGUCAAGUCCUCAUGGCCCUUACGCCUGGGGCUUGCACACGUGCUACAAUGCGGCCGACAAAGGGACGCCAACUGGCAACAGUUGCGCCAAUCCCAAAAAAGUCGCUCAGUUCAAAUCCGUGGGCUUGCAACCCCCCCACGUUGAAGCUGGAAUCCCUAGUAAUCCCCGAUCAACGACCCGCGGUGAAU
rnacentral:rRNA from 1 species